rnacentral:tRNA from 1 species
CGGGAUGUAGCGCAGUUUGGUAGCGCACAUGAUUUGGGAUCAUGGGGCCGCUGGUUCGAGUCCAGUCAUUCCGA